rnacentral:lncRNA from 1 species
AUUGCUAGGCAUAUCAUCAUGUACUGCAAAUAAAUGUACACGUCCACGAAAUAGGAAAAAUUGGGCAGAGGUGAAUUCAACCACCCAGCCAUUUACAUGAAAUAGCAUUACUCAAUGCCAUUUUUAACUUCCAGCUUUGUCUAGAUGAGCUCAUUCAAGUUCACCUCAGUUGGGUGAACUGAGGAAUCUGGAGAUUAAGAUCCCAUGCAUGUGUGUGACUGGGUUCAGUUAGAAUAACAUUUUCUUCCUGCAGAUCAUUAAUUAGAAUGUUUUUAAAGGCAAAACAAAGCACACAAAACACAGUUUGCUGAAAAUGAUGUUAGUUUAUUUACUUUGAAAAAUCUACUUCUAUAAAUUCAUAUACUAAAAAAUAAAUUAAAAGAUAAAAAUGAUGUCCUAAUAUAUUUCCUAUUGAGAAAGCAAAAUAAUUAGCAAUCUUCAUUAGUUGUCUAGAAAAAUAAUUUCCUCUUCAAGAAAGUUGCCUCUAUUUGCUAAGCUGUUCUAACCAAAUUUCCCUUUAUCACACAUGAAAUUUAACUGGAAAUACUAGUGGUCUGUUCUCACUUGAUUUUUCUGCAUAAGAGUUUAAAAGGCAGGGUUACUAUGUAAUCUAGUCUGGUAAAUUCUUUUUUGCCUAGGCAAAAACACCAGUUUACUUGUUAAAGAUGAUGAAGAGUUAAGUCCAGAGUUCAUAUCACAAUCUUAUCCCAUGACACUCCCUCCCCCUUUCACUUGAUGAAAAUAUGCUCAUGUGAAGUGAAUUCUGAAACUGAAUCCGCUGAACAUGCUCAGCAUUUGGUACCAGAUUUGUACUGUGACAUUCAAACUUCUGCCAUGGCUAUUGCAAUGUAAAUAGGAAAUUCUAAAUGUGAUUUGAAUUGCCCUUUGGGGAGUUUUACAAUGAGAGACGGUACAUUUCCAAGGUAGCCCAUAGUUAAUAUGGAGCAAGUCACAGUGGUCGGGUUGGAGACUGUUCUGCUUCGGAGCACAGGUUGACAGGAAACUCUGCACGCCUUCAACCGGACCGAGGGAAUUCGGCGGUUGACAUAGCCAUGUAUAGUUCUGAAAUAUUUUCUCUUGUUAGAAAUGUUUUAAAUUAGCCCAUGAAAAUAAGCACCUUUAUUAUUCACAUACAGUGAUUCAGUUUGGAGGUGACAGCUGUCUACAUAGAUCGUAGUGUAGAGAUUGGCAUAAGCAACGACUGUUUUUUAAUUAGCAACAAGCUUUUGUAAUUAUUAGAGGUCAGCAUUUCCUGUAAUUGAAUCAUGUAUGCUAGCAAAUAUACUCUCACAGCAAGCUGGUGUGCUCAGACCUUUCCCACGAAAUGCAACUAUUAGGUACCAUCGUGUUGCACACAGAAAAUGCAUGAUGGAAGCAGAGUGACCAGAAAAGACAUCACUGGGCAAACUGACCUGGCUUCCAUAAACUAGUGAGAGUAAAACCAAUGCUAUAUCUAAGUAAGUGCUUAG